rnacentral:rRNA from 1 species
UAGGGAAUAUUGGACAAUGGGGGCAACCCUGAUCCAGCCAUGCCGCGUGAGUGAAGAAGGCCCUCGGGUUGUAAAGCUCUUUUGUCCGGAAAGAAAAGCAUUCGGUGAAUACCCGGAUGUUCUGAAGGUACCGGAAGAAUAAGCACCGGCUAACUUCGUGCCAGCAGCAGCGGUAAUACGAAGGGUGCAAGCGUUACUCGGAAUUACUGGGCGUAAAGCGUGCGUAGGUGGUUGUUUAAGUCUGAUGUGAAAGCCCUGGGCUCAACCUGGGAAUGGCAUUUGAAACUGGGCAGCUAGAGUGCGGUAGAGGGUAGUGGAAUUCCCGGUGUAGCAGUGAAAUGCGUAGAGAUCGGGAGGAACAUCUGUGGCGAAGGCGACUGCCUGGACCAGCACUGACACUGAGGCACGAAAGCGUGGGGAGCAAACA